CGCGUCACCCGCUCCGGCGCUCGGGGUCCCCGAGAGGCCGGCGGAGCUGGACAUUGUGGGAGUUGUAGUCCACAGACCCCACUCUGAACCGCCAUCGCAGCGGCGACAGGACUACACUUCCCAGAGUCCUGGGCGCGGAAUGGCGGCGGACGGUGGCGCAGGAGAGGCGUGAGGGGUGGCUCCGGCUCCAACGCUGACACCGGUACCAGGACCAGGAGCAGGAUGUACACGCUGCUGUCAGGGCUCUAUAAAUACAUGUUCCAGAGGGAUGAAUACUGUGUCCUGAUCCUGGGUUUGGACAAUGCUGGUAAAACUACCUUCCUUGAACAAACUAAAACCCGAUUUAACAAGAAUUACAAAGGGAUGAGUUUGUCCAAAAUCACAACCACUGUAGGCUUAAACAUUGGAACUAUUGAUGUUGGCAAAACUCGGCUGAUGUUCUGGGACCUUGGCGGGCAGGAGGAGCUGCAGUCGCUUUGGGACAAGUACUAUGCUGAAUCUCAUGGGGUGAUCUAUGUUAUUGACUCCACUGAUGAGGAGAGGCUCUCCGAGUCCAAAAGAGCUUUUGAGAAGAUGAUUACCAGUGAAGCUCUGGAAGGGGUUCCCAUUCUGGUGUUGGCCAACAAACAGGAUGUAGAGGCUUGUCUGUCAAUACCUGAUAUCAAGACAGCAUUUAGUGACUGCAUUAACAAAAUUGGGAAGAGAGACUGCCUGACACAAGCCUGCUCAGCCCUUACUGGCUACUGCAAAGGAUAACAAGAACUUCUUGAACUGUGAAAAAAAUCCGUUGUCUGCAUUGCUACAAAUCACAUACCAUUAAGCAGGUGAAUGACCACAAGAACAAUAUUCAAGCACUGACUGGAAGAGAGCAAAGGGGUGAAUGAAGGAAUUGAAUGGAUGGUGAAGUGCGUGGUGAGGAACAUCCACCGCCCCCCAAGGAAGAAGGACAUCACGUAGGAGCUCCGAGCCAGCCAAGCAAUGGACAGUCUCUUUCCACACACUUCUGUGUUCCCUUUAAAGAAGGUGAUCCACUGGAUUCCUAUUACACCUGAUUCUUUCCUAAGUUUGGAGACAAAUAUUCUCUUUCUGUGUCUAAAAAAACACAAAACUUGAGCCAAGGAUUCCAACUGGGUGGGGGGUGGGAAUCUCUUACAUUAAGUAUUGUCAUUGGCCCUAGAGCAUCCUAUGUAGCAACCUACACAUUGUUGCUGAUGCAAAGGACUUAAUUUUCUACUAUCUCACUUUGUGAUUCCUGAUUUAUUAGUCUAACUGGCUGGAGGCCAGUGACAUGAAGGAACUCCUGAAGGAAAUGUGUAGAUGAAUGUGGAAGGGGAGGAGCAGCCUGGGAAAUGGCUGUUCCUCCUAACUGCAAAGACCAUUGCUGCUCCAGCCCCAUGUUCCUGCAGGGUGUUACUGGUCCUGUUAUGCUGCUGUUUGUGUAGUGGGGAGAGACAACAUUGGUUAGAACUUGAUUUUCACUUGGGGUUUUGACUUGUAACUUUGACCUGUGGUAAAAGCAGAUGUGGAAACCAGCAACUGCACAGUGGUCAUUGGAUUGUGGAAUCGUUGAGGCUGGAAAAGACCUCAUGAAAAAUCCCACUGUGCUGGUUGAAAUGGAUAUUCCUACCAGGACACAGAUUCCAGAAGCACUGCCUUGCUCUGACUGCCAGUCUCUCUGUGCAUUCUAUUUAAUCCUGAGAGUAGUUGGGAUCUUCUGUAACUGGAGUGAAUCAAGGCCCUCUCUGUGAUCUUUCUAAGCUGAAAACAACUUCUAGGCAGGGAGAAAUCGGUAUGCAAUAAAGCUUCCUACUUCUUAGAACUUCCCUGGCUGAAACAAUGGUAUUUGGGAAUAGCAGUACUCAGCCCUUAGUAUUUUUUUUUUUCAAAUGUAGGCAAAAACAGAGAGGCAGCACUCAAAAGAUGAGCAGUACUCAGUGCUUACAUUGCCUACUCAGCUAGAUCUGCUCACAUAUCACUGUCAUUUCCCUGAAAAUGAGUUUUUACAUGAAUUUCAUGGUGGUUUGGCAAUGGGUGUUGCUCCUCUGCUGUUUUAUUUACUCCUGGCACUGGUGAACGUUCUGUUUACUGACAUAAUGAAGGGACCACUAUUCCAGCUGUACUUGAGCCAGUC